GUGGGGAAUAUUGGACAAUGGGGGGAACCCUGAUCCAGCCAUGCCGCGUGUGUGAAGAAGGCCUUUUGGUUGUAAAGCACUUUAAGCGAGGAGGAGGCUACCGAGAUUAAUACUCUUGGAUAGUGGACGUUACUCGCAGAAUAAGCACCGGCUAACUCUGUGCCAGCAGCCGCGGUAAUACAGAGGGUGCGAGCGUUAAUCGGAUUUACUGGGCGUAAAGCGUGCGUAGGCGGCUUUUUAAGUCGGAUGUGAAAUCCCCGAGCUUAACUUGGGAAUUGCAUUCGAUACUGGGAAGCUAGAGUAUGGGAGAUGAUGGUAGAAUUCCAGGUGUAGCGGUGAAAUGCGUAGAGAUCUGGAGGAAUACCGAUGGCGAAGGCAGCCAUCUGGCCUAAUACUGACGCUGAGGUACGAAAGCAUGGGGAGCAAACAGGAUUAGAAACCCCUGUAGUCC
rnacentral:rRNA from 1 species